CCUCUAACUCUGUUAUCCUUUCUCCAACACGCACACUUCGCUACUAAGAAUGGCGUUUGCUGCUUCGCUCGCUCACAACGCAUUUCUGAAAUUGCCAACGUCGUUUCAUGGCGAAGCACCGCCGUUUUCGUCAAUUUCUUCAUCCUUCAUUGGUUCUCCGCUUACCUUCUCGCUCUCCACUACCCUUCCCGGGAACCAACAACUUUCCAGAAAGCAAUUUGUGGUUUUGGCGAGGAAGAUUACAGGGUUGGAUGAGGCCAUGAAUAUCAGAAGAGAACGUGAACUUAAAGUUGUGACAAAGGUUAAGAAAAGGCCUUCAUUAAGGCGUGGAAGAGUAUCACCAAGUCUUCUUGUUCCUGAUCACAUACCAAGGCCUCCUUAUGUAGGUUCAAAUAUACUUCCAGAAAUUGCAAAGGAGUAUCAAAUUCAUGACUCUGAAGGUAUAGCUAAAAUGAGGGCUGCAUGUGAGCUUGCAGCGCGUGUCUUAAACUUUGCAGGAACUCUGGUUAGGCCUUCUGUAACAACUAAUGAAAUUGAUAAAGCAGUGCAUCAGAUGAUAAUUGAUGCUGGUGCUUAUCCCUCACCCCUGGGCUAUGGUGGGUUUCCGAAAAGUGUGUGCACAUCAGUUAAUGAGUGCAUGUGCCAUGGAAUACCUGAUUCCCGACAGUUACAGAAUGGUGAUAUUAUUAACAUUGAUGUGACAGUCUACCUGAAUGGAUAUCAUGGAGACACAUCAAAGACAUUUUGUUGUGGGGAAGUCAGUGAUGAAAUGAAAAAGCUUGUUAAGGUAAAUGAAGAGUGCUUGGAGAAAGGAAUAGCUGUGUGCAAGGAUGGUGCUCCUUUUAGAAAAAUUGGAAAGAGAAUCAGUGAGCAUGCUGAAAAGUUUGGCUACGGUGUAGUGGAGCGUUUUGUUGGGCAUGGUGUGGGAACAGUGUUCCAUUCUGAACCGAUUAUUUUACAUCAUCGGAAUGACAAGACUGGUUGCAUGGUUGAAGGUCAAACUUUUACAAUUGAGCCUAUUCUUACAAUGGGAAGCACUGAUUGCAUCACCUGGCCAGACAACUGGACAACGUUAACAGCUGAUGGCAGCCUGGCUGCUCAGUGUGAGCAUACCAUUUUGAUAACUAGGACUGGAGCUGAAAUUUUGACUACAUGUUGACAUGGUAUUUUUUUUUUUUAAAUUCAGAAUGAUUAUUUUAUGAUAUCUGAUUAGUGUUUGUAUUGUAUAUAAGUUGUAAAUAUCUGCCUUGAAAUCAAAUUGCUUCCGGUUCUGGAGAAUUAAUUAUGCACAGACAGGUAAAGAUUGCCUAGAAGAGCUGUAUAUCAAAUUUUCUUGUGCAUUAUAAUUUUCAUAUAUGAACUCACCAGAUAUAAAGACACAGAUUAAGCAGUACUUGUUUCUAUCAGCAAAGACAAGGUUACAGUAAUUCGUUAGGGAGACUUGGUCAGAUAAAUGUCUAAUUGAAAGCUGCAUUCGUAGUAUGAUUUAGGCUGCGAGAACUGUUGGUCGUUGUUCAAGAUAAAAGUUUUAUUGGAAAUAUAGAUACGCGAUGGAAAUACUUGAUUUCGUGUGGAAAGUGUUGAGCUUAGAUUUCGCUUGAAGUGGUGUAGAUACGCCAUCGGAAUAUUUGAUAAAACUGAACUGGACGAGCUUUUGUCAUGAUAAAUUUCAGGUUGUUGACAUAAACAAAGUCUUUCAUGCCAUACGGUAAUAAGCCCAGGACCCGGCCUAGAGAAAUAUAGAUACUUGCAUAAAGUAUGUUGUGUUAUUCUAUAAAUUUAUCCCAUGACUAUGGGUCGGAAAUAAGUUUAAUUGAGUUUUAUUUGAAGUUGCAUAUCUUGUUUUAAUGUUUUGCACAUCAUUUCAGCAUCAAUUAGGGACAACCGAAUCUCAUAUGGAACAAUGUAAUUUAUUGACAUUUAAUUACUUUCUUAAAGGGUCAAUCAAUUGCUAUUUUUAAUUACAUGAAGACCAAAACGAAUCUAGGGGCCGUGUAAUGUACAAAAUUAUAUAUAUUAGAAUAUGGUAUAGCAGCCCCAAAGAACAGUGACCCUUCUGCUAAAUGUGAUGUGUCCUAAUAAUUAAUUUUAUUUUAAAUUGACCAUUAAAUACAGCCACUUGCACAUAUAUAAUAUAGUUUUCCUGAAAUUUUGGCUAAACCUUUCGUUUUACUAGUUAGCUAGGAGGAAAGAACGCAGCAGAUGCAAAGCCUUUAUUUUUAUCCAUGAGGAAAAGGACCAGGAAAGAAAUAAUUGAAAUGGGGAAAAGAAAAUGAAAAAAAAAAAAAAGGUUUCCAUUUGAGAAAAGGAGAGCACUCGCAGGCCUCGUUUGCUUACCAUUGCUCCACACAUCCACGUGUUAAAACUCAUUCUCUGUUUUUUACUUUUAUAAAGCUCCUUUAACUAGUCAUUCUUUUACCAGUUCCUCAAUCAUCACCAUCGAUGGCCUCCAUGAGUUCUCUGAAAAUGGUUCCUUCCCUCAAACUCUCUCAUCCAUGUUCUCUCUCUCCUCUUCAAACCCAAAAACAAGUAGGUUCUAGUCUCUGUCAGUCCUUCCCAGCCAAAAUUUUAAAAUUCUCAGCUACCCCACAAGUAUAUACAACCAGAAGAAGUUCCAAGAACACCACAACCACAGCAUUCUUCUUCAAUACCUCAAAGCAGCAUCCAGAUUCUUCAAAGCCAGCUGAAGUUCAAGAACUCCAUGUUUAUGAGAUCAAUGAACGUGACAGAGGCAGUCCUGCAUACCUUAAGCUAAGCCAGAAGCCUGUUAACUCUCUUGGAGAUUUGGUGCCUUUCAGCAACAAGAUAUACUCUGGAAACUUGGAAAAGAGACUAGGGAUAACUGCAGGCUUAUGUGUGCUCAUCCAGCAUGUUCCUGAGAAAAAGGGUGACAGAUAUGAGGCCAUUUACAGCUUCUACUUUGGAGAGUAUGGUCACAUAUCAGUUCAAGGAGCUUAUCUGACAUACCAAGACACAUAUCUGGCUGCAACAGGAGGCUCCGGAAUCUUUGAAGGUGUGUCUGGUCAGGUUAAACUUAAACAACUUGUGUUCCCAUUCAAGUUGUUCUACACCUUCUACUUGAAAGGUAUUCCUGAUUUGCCAGCUGAGCUACUAGGGAAGCCUGUUGAACCAUCACCAAAUGUUGAGCCAUCUCCAGCUGCUAAGGCUGCUGAGCCUCAUGCCUCUAUACCAAAUUUCACCAACUGAUACUCCAAUUGAGCCUUUUUUUCCUCCGAAAUUUUUAAUUUUGAACCCAAAAUAAAUUUUAGAUGUUGCAUAUUUUGCUAUAUUAGUCAAUCUUCUUUGUUUGUGCUGGACUAGACGUGACUUAUGUAUUUGCUAGAAUAAAAACAUUUGUUCUGCAAAAUUAAUUUUAUAUCAGUUUUCUUUUGCGGAACUAGAUCAGACUACAUACAGGCUGACUUAGUGGUAGAACAUUCAUUGAUAUUU